rnacentral:rRNA from 1 species
GACGAACGCUGGCGGCGUGCUUAACACAUGCAAGUCGAACGGUGAAGCGCCUUCCUUUUUGGUGGGUGUGGAUGAGUGGCGAACGGGUGAGUAACACGUGAGUAACCUGCCCCCUUCUUCUGGAUAACCGCAUGAAAGUGUGGCUAAUACGGGAUAUUCUGGGUCUGUCGCAUGAUGGGUCUGGGAAAGAUAUUGUUUCGGUGGGGGAUGGGCUCGCGGCCUAUCAGCUUGUUGGUGGGGUGAUGGCCUACCAAGGCGGUGACGGGUAGCCGGCCUGAGAGGGUGGACGGUCACACUGGGACUGAGACACGGCCCAGACUCCUACGGGAGGCAGCAGUGGGGAAUAUUGCACAAUGGGCGCAUGCCUGAUGCAGCGACGCCGCGUGAGGGAUGGAGGCCUUCGGGUUGUGAACCUCUUUCGCCAGUGAAGCAGGCCUGCCUCGUUUGUGGGUGGGUUGACGGUAGCUGGAUAAGAAGCGCCGGCUAACUACGUG